ensembl:lncRNA MEG8 maternally expressed 8, small nucleolar RNA host gene
AGAAUGAAAACCAUGUAGCUGGUCUUAUUAUUCUCUAAUCAUGAAGACCAUUAUUGUUAUUUGUGGACUAAGGAGCAGAAAGACUGAUAGUGGACAUAGGCCAGCUGAUUUAAUAAUUUAAGAAAGAACUGUUAUCCUGAGUAAGGAGCAUAGAGACAAAUAUAAAAUGAACGCACUCUACCUGAUUUAAUUAUAGUCUUCUGGUGAAGAUCUUGCUGUUAUCUCUGUGAAUCAGGAGAGAAGAGAUUGAUAAGGAAUAGACGAGAUUGGAUUUGGUCAUUUCCCCAAGGUGAAGAGCAUGGCGAUUUCUUCUGUGGUAAGGAGCAAUAAUGAAGACCAUGGUUGAUUUAAUCAGUCUCUGCUGAUGAAGAUCUUGGCUGUUACCUUUGUGUGUAAGGAAGCUAAAGACUUAAAAUGAAUGCGCAAUGAUUCAAUUAUUCUCCAGCGAGGAAGAUC